CCUGAGUAAUCUGUAUUCUGUUAGAGAUUCAUGAUCGUCUUGCUUAUAAGAAUGUAGCACAAAUUAAUGAAUUUUCAUGGGGCUUUAAUUUGGGAUGAAACUGAAAUGUGGUGCCUUCACAUGUAGUAGCUGACUUACCUGGAACAACAAAUUGCAGAACAUAGGGGUUUCUCCACUUUACUGGUAUGUCUUUUAUGCCGCCACUCUCUAGAAGAACUUCGAACUUUUGAUUCUGCUGAACGGCCUGAUUCAACAUUACAAAAAUCUUGGUGCUUCCCUGUAAAGAAUACACAUUCAUAAACUGUAUCUUUCUUAUUGCUCAUAAAAUACGAAUAGAAUUCCUCAUAGAAGUUUAUGUGGAAAAAUCAUAUGUUCUUCCACGGCAGGUCACGAUCUACUGUGGAAUGACCGCGUGUCAAUCUACAAGCAAUUAGCAACCAGCUCUAAAGAAUUCACUCAUCUCGUGUCCUUCUCCUGUGACUGGAACAUAGAAGAAGCUUUAAAACAACUUCAACAUGAAGGCUAUGUUGUUAGUGCUCCUUGUGGUCGCUCUGGCCAUUGCUGUGGUGACUGCGGCUCCCCAGUACUUUGUGAACGGAUACUACGGCUACGCUCCAAGCCUGGGCUACUAUCAUCACCACUCCUACUACCCAUACUACUACUACCACCUUAGGCGUUAGCUGUAGUGUUGUGAAUGGUCACCAAUGAACUCGGAAACGAUGAGGCACCGGACACGUGACGACUGCGAAGAGGAGGAUGAAAUAGCAAUCUACUGACAGCAUUAUGACAGCAUGACAGCAGUUACACGCAGGGGUGCAAUCAUUUUGCUGCAUACGCUAUCAUUGCAAAAACAAUGGAAGGAAGUCUAAUGCUUGGAGAUGUAGAUAACGUGAAAUAAAAUCCCUUUUAUCAUUUCGAUAA